rnacentral:lncRNA from 1 species
UCCUUCCUGGACCACUUACAUGCUUCCAACAAAAUGAAGCACUCUUGAUGUUAGUCACUCAAAUAAAUGGAAAUGGGCCCAUUUACUGGGAAUGUUAACAGAAUAAAAAGAUAGACGUGACACCAGUUGCUUCAGCCCAUCUCCAUGUACUUGCUUAAGGGCUGGGCAUAUUUCUCAUGGUGGAUAUGGUUCAGGGCACAUGUUUAAAUGGCUGUUCUUGUAGGAUGGUUUGGCUGUUGGAUUCCUCAUCUUCCCUCUCCUUAGGAAGGUAAGGUUACAGUAGUACUGUUGGCUCCUGGAAUAUAGAUUCAUAAAGAACUAAUGGAGUAUCAUCUCCACUGCUCUUGUGUGUGGUCAAAGUUCAGAUCCUUUACAGUUUCCACAUUCUAUCUCUAUUUCUAUUCAUCCUAGUAAAGCCAGUUACUUCAGACAUAAGUCCAUCUCUCAUUAAUUUAAUCCUCAUUAAGAAAAGUCAACUAAUAGCCCAGGCUUGAUUUUGGGGAAAAUGAGCACUAAUAUAUAAAUCUCUGCCUUAUUUUACUUUACAGAACUCAAAAAGCUUUGUUUGUUUGUUUGUUUGUUUAACAAAGGAUACUAUUUGCUUCCACACCUCAAGCCCAGGUAAUCCUGCAGAGGAUGCAGUCUUGGCGAAAGAAGUGAAUAUUCCAACUGACUUAAUUUAUUCCCACCUCAGCCAUUGGAACGGGAGUUUGAAGCAGAAAGUAAGUUGAAGUAAAGAAGGUUUUACCUUAGCUGAGUUCAUAGAAUGAGAUGCCAGCCUUCUACAUAGUAUACAUACCGCACUCAGUAAGGGGUUCCAGUAAAGCAGAUUCCGUUUCCACCUGAGGUAACAAAGUAAGUUUUAUGCGGGUGGUCACAUUAAACUUGAAUGUAGACAAAUUAGUGGUAUUUUGAAACAUCCGGAGUGAGGAGAUUAUUUAAAUGACCAGUUUAGAGGCAGAAAAAUAAAAGGCAUAACACAAACAUGGAAAAUAAUAUUGGGGGAAUUCAAGGAAUUUAAGUACCGAGACGGGCGGAUCACGAGAUCAGGAGAUCGAGACCAUCCUGGCUAAUACGGUGAAACCCCGUCUCUACUAAAAAAUACAAAAAACUAGCCGGGCGAGGUGGCAGGCGCCUGUAGUCCCAGCUACUCGGGAGGCUGAGGCAGGAGAAUGGCGGGAACCCGGGAGGCGGAGCUUGCAGUGAGCUGAGAUCCGGCCACUGCACUCCAGCCUGGGCGACAGAGGAGACUCCGUCUCAAAAAAAAAAAAAAAAAAAAAGAUAUGGUUAAAGACAUUUUGAAAUGUGAAAGCCAACUAAAUAAAAUUUAAGUAAGAAAAAUCUGGACAGGCACGGUGGCUCAUGCCUGUAAUCCCAGCACUUUGGGAGGCCGAGACGGGCAGAUCACGAGGUCAGGAGAUCGAGACCAUCCUGGCUAACACGGUGAAACCCUGUCUCUACUAAAAAAUACAAAAAACUAGCCGGUGUGGUGGCAGCACCCGUAGUCCCAGCUACUCGGGAGGCUGAGGCAGGAGAAUGGCGUGAACCCAGGAGGCAGAGCUUGCAGUGAGCCGAGAUCGCACCACUGCACUUCAGCCUGGGCAACAGAGCAAGACUCUGUCUAAAAAAAAAAAAGAAAAAGAAAAAUCUGAAGAAAUAUGACAUACUUUAAAGUAAUAUAAGAAAUUUGGCUGCUAUCAUUACUUUUUUUAACAGAUGAGUGAGUCUCUAAGGAAAAUAAACUGUCAGCUUUUUGCAAGGAGCAAGACUUUCUGAAAAUAACCCAGGUAUCUGCUCUUGACAAAGAAAUAGCUGAAAUGAGGAUUUUCUCCCACUUCUACUAGCCAGGAAAGUAAAAUCUAAGCCCGAUUUCCAAUGGAACAAGAGGCUUCCACAGUUCUACCCACAAGAAGUGGGGACUGAAACUUCCCAUGUGCCCAGGGUCUUCACGUUCAAGGCAGUAGUGGCCUCUGCAAUAGCACACAAACCCAUAAGCACACAGCUUCAGCAAGCUUCUCUGAGGGAAUAAAUGGAGAAUGGGAAACUGUGCCUUAUCUUGUCUUGCUCUAAACUUCUCCAGUGAAGUCUAUUCUUUA